GAUGAAGAACGUAGCGAAAUGCGAUAAGUAAUGUGAAUUGCAGAAUUCAGUGAAUCAUCGAAUCUUUGAACGCACCUUGCGCCCUUUGGCUAUUCCGAAGGGCAUGCCUGUUUGAGUAUCAUUAACACCUCAACUCUCAUGGUUCGCCAUGAUGAGCUUGGACUCUGGGGGUCUUGCUGGCCUAUGGUCAGCUCCUCUCAAAUAAAUCAGCUUGCCAGUGUUUGGUGGCAUCACAGGUGUGAUAACUAUCUACGCUUGUGGUUUUCCAUCAGGUAACCUUCAGUGAUGGAGGUUCGCUGGAGCUCAUAAAUGUCCCUCCUCAGCGAGGACAGCUUUUUGAACGUUUGAUCUCAAAUCAGGUAGGACUACCCGCUGAACUUAAGCAUAUCAAUAAGCGGAGGA
rnacentral:misc_RNA from 1 species